rnacentral:rRNA from 1 species
UACAGAGGGUGCGAGCGUUGUCCGGAAUCACUGGGCGUAAAGGGCGCGUAGGCGGCUUGAUAAGCGUGCGGUGAAAGCCCGGGGCUCAACCCCGGGUCGGCCGUGCGAACUGUCGAGCUGGAGCACUGUAGAGGCAGGUGGAAUUCCGGGUGUAGCGGUGGAAUGCGUAGAGAUCCGGAAGAACACCGGUGGCGAAGGCGGCGACCUGGUCCGAUACUGACGCUGAGGCGCGAAAGCGUGGGGAGCAAACAGG